UACGUAGGGGGCGAGCGUUGUCCGGAUUUACUGGGCGUAAAGAGCGCGCAGGCGGUCGUUCAAGUCGCGUGUGAAAGCCCCCGGCUCAACUGGGGAGGGUCACGCGAUACUGAUCGACUCGAAGGCAGGAGAGGGUAGUGGAAUUCCCGGUGUAGUGGUGAAAUGCGUAGAUAUCGGGAGGAACACCAGUGGCGAAGGCGACUACCUGGCCUGUUCUUGACGCUGAGGCGCGAAAGCUAGGGGAGCAAACGGGG
rnacentral:rRNA from 1 species